UACGGGGGGGGCUAGCGUUAUUCUACGUUACUGGGUGUAAAAAGUGUUCAGACGGUUUAAUAAGUUUCUUUUUAAAGACUAAAAUUCAAUUUUAGAAAUGAUUGAAAAUACUGUUAAACUAGAGUAUAUUGGGAGAUAGUUGUAUUUUUAGUGUAAAGUUAGAAUUUUUCAAUAUUAAAAAGACAUUCAGUGGGUGAAGACUACUAUCUAUAGUAUUACUGACGUUGAAACACAAAAGCGUGAGGAGCAAACAGG
rnacentral:rRNA from 1 species